rnacentral:misc_RNA from 1 species
GUAGGUGAACCUGCGGAAGGAUCAUUAAAGGUUUUCGUCGGCCCUCUGAAAAGGGGGAGUUCGACGGCCAAGAUCAACCACUGUGCGCAUAUAUUGAAAUCAUUAUUGCUUUUGGUAGGUUCCCUUCGAAAAAAAUUAAUUUUUUUUUUGGGAGGAGCGCCUGCCAAGAGUAUUUUCAAAAUCAGCCUUAUUUUUUGACUGAACUUUUUUUUAAAUAAAAUUUAAUACAACUUUCAACAACGGAUCUCUUGGCUCUC